rnacentral:rRNA from 1 species
CAAAGGAAGUUCGACGGGCCCGCACAAGCAGCGGGCGUGUGGUUUAAUUCGAGGCUACACGAAGAACCUUACCAGGGUUUGACAUGUCACGUGGUAGGAAUCCGAAAGGUGACCGACCCUUCGGGGAGCGUGCACAGGUGCUGCAUGGCUGUCGUCAGCUCGUGUCGUGAGAUGUUGGGUUAAGUCCCGCAACGAGCGCAACCCUUAUCAUUAGUUGCUACGCAAGGGGCACUCUAAUGAGACUGCCGGUGACAAACCGGAGGAAGGUGGGGAUGACGUCAAGUCCUCAUGGCCCUUAUGGGUAGGGCUUCACACGUCAUACAAUGGUCGGUACAGAGGGUUGCCAACCCGCGAGGGGGAGCUAAUCCCACAAAGCCGAUCGUAGUCCGGAUCGCAGUCUGCAACUCGACUGCGUGAAGUCGGAAUCGCUAGUAAUCGUGGAUCAGCAUGUCACGGUGAAUACGUUCCCGGGUCUU